GUGAGGAAUAUUGGUCAAUGGGCGAGAGCCUGAACCAGCCAAGUAGCGUGAGGGAUGACUGCCCUAUGGGUUGUAAACCUCUUUUGCAGGGGGGUAAAGUGGUCCACGUGUGGAUCAUUGCAAGUACCCUGCGAAUAAGGAUCGGCUAACUCCGUGCCAGCAGCCGCGGUAAUACGGAGGAUCCGAGCGUUAUCCGGAUUUAUUGGGUUUAAAGGGAGCGUAGGCGGCGGUUUAAGUCAGCUGUGAAAUGCCGUGGCCCAACCAUGGAACUGCAGUUGAAACUGGAGCUCUUGAGAGUACAUAAGGAAGGCGGAAUUCGUGGUGUAGCGGUGAAAUGCAUAGAUAUCACGAAGAACUCCGAUUGCGAAGGCAGCUUUCCGGGGUACAUCUGACGCUGAAGCUCGAAAGUGCGGGAAUCAAACAGGAUUAGAAACCCGUGUAGUCC
rnacentral:rRNA from 1 species